rnacentral:rRNA from 1 species
GACGAACGCUGGCGGCGUGCUUAACACAUGCAAGUCGAACGGACAGGCCCUGCUUUUGUGGGGUGCUCGAGUGGCGAACGGGUGAGUAACACGUGAGUAACCUGCCCUUGACUUUGGGAUAACUUCAGGAAACUGGGGCUCAUACCGGAUAGGAGCUCCUGCUGCAUGGUGGGGGUUGGAAAGUUUCGGCGGUUGGGGAUGGACUCGCGGCUUAUCAGCUUGUUGGUGGGGUAGUGGCUUACCAAGGCUUUGACGGGUAGCCGGCCUGAGAGGGUGACCGGCCACAUUGGGACUGAGAUACGGCCCAGACGCCUACGGGAGGCAGCAGGGGGGAAUAUUGCACAAUGGGCGGAAGCCUGAUGCAGCAACGCCGCGUGCGGGAUGACGGCCUUCGGGUUGUAAACCGCUUUCGCCUGUGACGAAGCGUGAGUGACGGUAAUGGGUAAAGAAGCACCGGCUAACUACGUG